UGCCCACUGUUUGCCUCUCCAUCUUCUGUCUUCCGAGGAUAGAUCUCCCAGGCAGGUUCUUGGGGGCAUUUUGAAAAUUGAAUUUGGAGGAAAGGCUGCAGCCAAGAAGCCCUCAGGCUAGAGCUGGUGAAGAAAUCUCUCAGAGAGAACCCCUGAUUUUAUCUGGGCAGGUGACCUUCCAGAAUGUCCAGCUUCCUUCGCAGUAAGGUGUGGCCAUGUGGUGUGGCCAUGUGAUGUAGCCACAUGACUAAGUUCUGCCAAUGGGAUGUGAGCCAAAAUAUUGUGUGCCGCUUCUGGGUUAAGCCUUUAAGAGUAAGGGGUGUGUCUACCCUUUCCCUCUUUCUACUAGCAGGGACACGGGUGGGAGAACGAACCAUCCUGGUCACAAAGAUGAGGGAAGCAUCCAAAAGAUGACGGAGCAACAAGAGGGGAAAAGCUUUGCCAAGGAAAGUCACUAUACUCCACAGGAGAGAGAGAGAAUCUUCUAACGUGUCAAAGCCAUUGGAUACCACUUCCUGCCUGCUUGAAUGGAUUUUCUCCCCAUAUCAAAGUCUGUGUCAGCCUGUGGAGGCCACCUCUCAGUGCUCCCUGCCCCACUGAAAUGAACCAGGGCAGGUUUGGGGUACCGCAAGGACCAACAAAGAAAGUUUGGGCAAUCCAUCUUGAUACACAAUCCUUGAAAAGUUUCUCUGCCCACAUGCCAAGGAACCAAGGCCUGCAGAGAACAGAGAAACCAAGCAGACUUCAGCCCAAGAGCCUGCGGGGGAACUAAUCCCCUCCAACAGCCACGUGGAGUGAGGUUGGAAGUGAAUUCUUCCCCAGAAGACGAUUGCGGUUCCUGGCCCACCCCUUGAUAGCAGCCUUGUUAGAUUCCCAAGCCAGAGGACCCAACUAAGCCACAUCUGGAUUCCUGACCCAUAGAAACUGUGAGAUAAUAAAUGAAUGCUGUUUUAAGCUGUUUAAA